rnacentral:guide_RNA from 1 species
ACAAUGUAAACUCUGAUAUCUGGUUUCAUAGAAGUGAGAAAUUAAUUU